rnacentral:rRNA from 1 species
UACGUAGGUGGCAAGCGUUGUCCGGAUUUACUGGGCGUAAAGGAUGCGUAGGUGGAAAUUCAAGUCAGAUGUGAAAUACCAGGGCUUAACUUGGGUGCUGCAUUUGAAACUGGAUAUCUAGAGUGCAGGAGAGGUAAGUGGAAUUCCUAGUGUAGCGGUGAAAUGCGUAGAGAUUAGGAAGAACACCAGUGGCGAAGGCGACUUACUGGACUGUAACUGACACUGAGGCAUGAAAGCGUGGGGAGCAAACGGG